rnacentral:ncRNA from 1 species
AAGCAAAGACAAAAUCUGCAAGAUUUUGAACGUUGGCUCUGCCAACGGCACAAAGUGCAAGUGUAACGCAGUAAAAGUAGGUCGCCUUCAGGCGAAA